GGCGAACGGGUGAGUAACACGUGGGCAAUCUGCCCUGCACUCUGGGACAAGCCCUGGAAACGGGGUCUAAUACCGGAUACGAGUUCCCAUGGCAUCUUGGGGACUGGAAAGCUCCGGCGGUGCAGGAUGAGCCCGCGGCCUAUCAGCUUGUUGGUGAGGUAACGGCUCACCAAGGCGACGACGGGUAGCCGGCCUGAGAGGGCGACCGGCCACACUGGGACUGAGACACGGCCCAGACUCCUACGGGAGGCAGCAGUGGGGAAUAUUGCACAAUGGGCGAAAGCCUGAUGCAGCGACGCCGCGUGAGGGAUGACGGCCUUCGGGUUGUAAACCUCUUUCAGCAGGGAAGAAGCGAAAGUGACGGUACCUGCAGAAGAAGCGCCGGCUAACUACGUGCCAGCAGCCGCGGUAAUACGUAGGGCGCAAGCGUUGUCCGGAAUUAUUGGGCGUAAAGAGCUCGUAGGCGGCUUGUCACGUCGGUUGUGAAAGCCCGGGGCUUAACCCCGGGUCUGCAGUCGAUACGGGCAGGCUAGAGUUCGGUAGGGGAGAUCGGAAUUCCUGGUGUAGCGGUGAAAUGCGCAGAUAUCAGGAGGAACACCGGUGGCGAAGGCGGAUCUCUGGGCCGAUACUGACGCUGAGGAGCGAAAGCGUGGGGAGCGAACAGGAUUAGAUACCCUGGUAGUCCACGCCGUAAACGGUGGGCACUAGGUGUGGGCAACAUUCCACGUUGUCCGUGCCGCAGCUAACGCAUUAAGUGCCCCGCCUGGGGAGUACGGCCGCAAGGCUAAACUCAAAGGAAUUGACGGGGCCCGCACAGCGGCGGAGCAUGUGGCUUAAUUCGACGCACGCGAAAUCUUACCAAGGCUGACAUACACCGGAAAGCAUUAGAGAUAGUGCCCCCCUUGUGGUCGGUGUACAGGUGGUGCAUGGCUGUCGUCAGCUCGUGUCGUGAGAUGUUGGGUUAAGUCCCGCAACGAGCGCAACCCUUGUCCCGUGUUGCCAGCAGGCCCUUGUGGUGCUGGGGACUCACGGGAGACCGCCGGGGUCAACUCGGAGGAAGGUGGGGACGACGUCAAGUCAUCAUGCCCCUUAUGUCUUGGGCUGCACACGUGCUACAAUGGCCGGUACAAUGAGCUGCGAUACCGUGAGGUGGAGCGAAUCUCAAAAAGCCGGUCUCAGUUCGGAUUGGGGUCUGCAACUCGACCCCAUGAAGUCGGAGUCGCUAGUAAUCGCAGAUCAGCAUUGCUGCGGUGAAUACGUUCCCGGGCCUUGUACACACCGCCCGUCACGUCACGAAAGUCGGUAACACCCGAAGCCGGUGGCCCAACCCCUGUGGGAGGGAGCU
rnacentral:rRNA from 1 species